GACGAACGCUGGCGGCGUGCUUAACACAUGCAAGUCGAACGGAAAGGCCCUGCUUUUGUGGGGUGCUCGAGUGGCGAACGGGUGAGUAACACGUGAGUAACCUGCCCUUGACUGUGGGAUAACUUCAGGAAACUGGGGCUAAUACCGGAUAGGAGCUCCUGCUGCACGGGGGGGGUUGGAAAGUUUCGGCGGUUGGGGAUGGACUCGCGGCUUAUCAGCUUGUUGGUGGGGUAGUGGCUUACCAAGGCUUUGACGGGUAGCCGGCCUGAGAGGGUGACCGGCCACAUUGGGACUGAGAUACGGCCCAGACUCGUAAGGGACGGAGCAGUGCGGAAUAUUGCACAAUGGGCGGAAGCCUGAUGCAGCAACGCCGCGUGCGGGAUGACGGCGUUAGGGUUGUAAACCGCUUUCGCCUGUGACGAAGCGUGAGUGACGGUAAUGGGUAAAGAAGCACCGGCUAACUACGUG
rnacentral:rRNA from 1 species